CACGUAGGGUGCGAGCGUUGUCCGGAAUUAUUGGGCGUAAAGAGCUCGUAGGCGGUGUGUCGCGUCGGCCGUGAAAACCUGCAGCUUAACUGUGGGCUUGCGGUCGAUACGGGUAUCACUGGAGUUCGGCAGGGGAGACUGGAAUUCCUGGUGUAGCGGUGAAAUGCGCAGAUAUCAGGAGGAACACCGGUGGCGAAGGCGGGUCUCUGGGCCGAUAUUGACGCUGAGGAGCGAAAGCGUGGGGAGCGAACAGG
rnacentral:rRNA from 1 species